rnacentral:lncRNA from 1 species
CUUUAGUUAACACAAAUCUGCCAAACCUUGUGAAGAAUAUGCCAUCUCGUAAGUAUAUCUGUUUCCUACACAAAUCAAUCACGUCAAUUACAUAAAAACAAGACAAACAAUUAAGUAGAAUAAAACAAAAUGAAAAUAAAUACCCAGAAAGACAAGACUGCAUUAUCUAUUAAGAAGCCCUUCUGUAAAAACACUUAUUCUUUUAUGUUGUGUUUAACCCCUUAAUGCCACAGGGUGUUCUAUGUUGCCCAAUAAAAGUGGACAGCAUAGAAUGCCCUGCAGAUAGUGACACCCCCCUGCUUCCCAUACUUACCCUCCACGAUGAUCUGGUUCAGGGGGACUGCCUGACAACCUAAUUAAAUAUAUAUAUAUCCUUUAAGCCUUUCCAGAAGGCUGUGUCAUGGGACCUUCCAUCACAGUAGAUAUGUCCAGAUUUGACACUCCAUAUUAUGGCAAUCCCACAAAGAGGAUACCAAAGUAAGGAGCAAUAUACUAAACAGCUGAAAGGCCAAAUAUAAGACCAAAUAGCCUAAUUGGAAAAAUUAUCCAAGUCAUCUCUAUUGUCAGUUUGGUUACUUUGCUCUUCAAUUUAAAUUCACUUUGAUUUACUGACAAUUCUCCCUUUACUGAAUAGCUCUGUUUGUCUUCCGCUCCUGGAGGCAGUCUGGCACCCAGUCAGACUUUUUCCAUUAUAGAUUCAUAUUGUGCUUAUACAGCCGCUGCCCUUGCCAAACAGUUAUACUUUUCCUUUCUCAUUAGUUCAUGCUCCCUCAAUCCCAGGCAUCUCUUUGACACCUUUAACUCUCUUCUUCGCCCUGCUGUGGCCACCCAUCAAACUAACCAUACAGCUGAGAGCUUUGCAUGCUACUUUACCGACAAGAUUGAACAGCUAAGGAAAGAAUUCUCCCCGCCUUGCCGUUCUCUUUCUCAACCACACAUAGAUCAUGCCUUUCCUACCCUUCAGACUUUCUCCCCAGCCACUGAACAAGAGGUGGCUGAGCUUCUACUUUCCUCUCACCCUACCACUUGCCCGCUCGAUCCUGUCCCAUCUCACCUUAUCAGAACUCUCUCCCCUUGUUUUGUGCCUUCCUUAACACACAUCAAUUGCUCUCUCUCUUCUGACAUUGUCCCUGCUGACCUUAAACAUUCUACUGUAGUACCUAUCCUGAAAAAAACAUCUCUCAAUCUGUCCACCCCCUCUAUCGUCCCAUAUCCCUGCUCCCUUUUUCCUCAAAACUUCUGGAAAGACUUGUCUUUACCUGUAUGUCUCACUUCCUCAAUUCCAACUCUCUCCUUGACCCCCUUCCCUCCACUCUACUGAGACUGCUCUUAUUAAAGUAGUGGGCUUUAGAUUGCAGCUAAAUCUAAAGCCCACUACUCCAUACUAAUACUUCUUGACCUCUCUGCUGCCUUUGACACCGUUGAUCAUGCUCUCCUUCUUCAAACACUUCAGUCACUUGUUCUCUGUAACACUGUCCUCUCUUGGUUUUCCUCCUAUCUUUCCCAACGCUCAUUCAGUGUCUCCUUUUCUAAUGAUACCUCCUCCAUUCAUCCUGUCUCUGUUGAAGUCCCCCAAGGCUCUGUCCUUGGUCCCCUUCUAUUUUCUCUUUAUACUGACUCUAUUGGAAACUUAUUGCCUCAUUUGGAUUCCACUACCAUCUGUACGCCGAUGACACCUAGCUAUAUCUUUCCGCCCCAGACCUCUUCCCUGCCAUCCUGCAACGUGUCACUGCUUGCCUUUCCUCUAUCUCGGACUGGAUGUCCUCCCACUUUCUAAAACUAAAUUUCUAUGAAACUAAACUCCUAGUCUUUCCUCCUUCUAAUACUGAUCCUCUUCUUUCGCUCUCCCUUCAAGUCAGUGGCAUCCACAUCAUUCCAUACUUGCAAGGGUGCUGUCUAAUUUGAUUCUAGCUUCACCUUUGAGCCUCACAUCCAGCAUGUUACCAAAUCCUGUAGAUUCUAUCUUCAAAACAUAGCCUGCAUCCGCCCCUUUCUUAUGCAAGAUGGUCCAAAGAGCUUGUCCAUGCUCUAGUAAUUUCCCGCAUGGAUUAUUGUAACCCUGUUCUAAUUGGUCUUCACAAAAACCGUAUUGCCCUGCUACAGUCUGUAAUGAAUGCUGCUGCCAGACUGAUUUUCCUCUCUAGUCGGUCCUCUCACACCUCACCCCUCCGUCAGUCCUUACAUUGGCUUCCUGUAGCCUAUAGGAGUCAAUUCAAAGUGCUAACCCAUUCCUAUAAACCACUGAACAAUUUCAGCCCCAUCUUAUCUCGUCACAGAUCAAUAGGUAUGCCCCUUCUCCAGGGCUAGAUUAAGAGCUCAGUGGGCCUGGUGCUGACAAUUAUGAUGGGCCUAAUUACAAAAUCUUAUUGACCAAAAACACUAAAACAGGACUACCUCCCAAGUGUCAUGUAUCUGAUGGAGAAGGUGCUGGAGGGAAACUCAUAGGAUGCAGCUAUGAGAAAAUACAUACCCUAUGCUAAUCUCAUGCUUUCAGCUUCCAAGUAAAUCCAUACUCCUAACAGCAAUGUCCAGUAAAGCAGGAAGUCUAUGGAUGGGGUAAAAGGGUAGGCAACUGACGCAAAUCACAUAACCAGAACUGCCGAAAGGGGUGAACAUGUCUCCCAGUCCCUUAGUGUCUGUGUCCCCAUGUCACUAGGACACUAGGGGACACUUAGAGAUAUUUGGACAAUGGGAGAGACAUGGGGACACUGAGACACAAGGGGACACUGGGAGAGACAUGGGGAAACUGAGAUACAUUGGGACACUAAGAGACUAGGGGACUCUGGUAGACUAGGGGACUCUGGUAGACUAAGGGACACUGAGAGACACCAGGGACACUGGGAAACAUGGGGACACUGAGAGACACCAGGGACCCUGGGAGACAUGGAGACACUGAGACACUAGGGACACUGACUAUGAGACAUGGGGACACUGAAAGACUAGGGGCCACUGGGAGACAUGGGGCCACUGUGUCCCUAGUGUCUCAGGGUCCCCAUGUUCCCCAGUGUCACAAUGUCUCCCAGUGUCGCAAUGUCUCAGUGUCCCCAAGUCUCUCACCGUCCCCAUGUCUCAGUUUUCCCUAGUGUCUGUGUCCCCAGGUCUCCCAGUGCCCCCUACUGUCUGUGUUCAACAAGUGUCCCUAUGUCUCCUAGUGUCUCAGUGCCCCCUAGUGUCUCAGUGUCCCCAUGUCUCUCAGUGCCCCGUAGUGUCUCACAGUGUCCCCUAGUGUCUGGCUGCAGCCUUUCCCUCGUCCCUCACUUACCUGAUCAAUUGGCUGUCUCUGGAGGCUCGGAGCUGCUGUCUAGACUCUCUGUGCAGAGCUACUCCCCCACGGAUCAGUGAGUAGAGAGAGGCAGGGAGGGAGAUGCUGCAAUACCGGCACUGGCUAGGCAGUCUUAAAUAUCUGAGAAAUACUUCUAAGAAAUACCUGGCAACCCUAAGAAAUACCUGAGAAAUACCUGGCAACCCUAAGAGUAGUGUGUGAAAAAAAAAUGUUUUUUUUUUAAUUCAAUAGGCCUAUUCCAUGGGCUUGGGCCUGGAGCUUCAGCUCCAUCAACCCCUAUGUUAAUCCAGCUGUGCCCUUCUCGGUCUCUCCGCUCUGCCCGUGUCCUUCUCCUGUCCACUACUCACACCCGUAGGGCCAACUCACGCUCGCAGGGCUUCUCGUGAUUGGCUCCCUUCCUAUGGAAUAGCCUGCCUACCACCAUCAGACUCUUCCCUAGUCUUCAGUUGUUUAAGAAGUGCUUUAAAACCCAUCUUUUUAGUUAAGCUUAUGGCCUCCCAGAGUAACCUCUACGUCACAUACCUGUCUCUUGCUCUCUCCUCCAGCUCUGCUUCACUCCCACCUUAUUUGAUUGCUAUUUUCUGUCCUAAUGUGUUUUAUACCCCACCUCUUAUAGACUGUAAGCUCGUUUGAGCAGGGUCAACUUCAACCUAUCGUUCCUGUAAGUUUUCUUGUAAUUGUCCUAUUUAUGGUUAAAUCUCCCAUCUCAUAAUAUUGUAAAGCGCUAUAUAAAUGGCAAUAAUAAUAAUAAUAAUAAUAAUAAUAAGACAGUUAGUCUCUGUAUGAUUUCUUUCUCAAUAAACUAUUUGACCUUUGGCUUUCAAAACAAAUUCAAUGCAACAAAGAAAGCUUUAGAGCAGUUGUUCUUCCAUUAAACAACUUGUAUUAGUGAAACUCAUUUCAUUUUUAACAACUUCCUUGAACUAAUUUCAAAGCUUUCACUGUAAUAGAAAAUCAUCUGAACUUUUACUCCGAGCACUAAUCCAUUUAAUGAAUUUUAUUCCAGCUCAAUUAUGGGAUUUUAUGUUUCCUCGAUUUAGUCUUUUGCUAGAAGAGCUAGAAAUGCAAUUUUUAAUGAAUGAUGUAAGUAUACCUUUCCUUCCUCAGCAAUAUAUACAUUUGUUAUUACAUCUAUUUGUUCAAUGAAUUGUUUAAAUUGACAGAACGAUGUAUUAAAUGAAGUGAUUUUGGUGCACAGACCCUGUCCCUGUUGUUUCACUACAAAAAAACAUUGCAGUUUCUGAGAAAAUGCAAUAUUUACAUUUUGUCUAAACCACACCGCAACUAGAGCCACUUCCUCAUUCUAGACUUUAUAUUUUAAAAACUUUGCAUGUUCGGCAUCAUCUAAACAAAAAAAUAGCAAAAGUAAAGUGCUAGAAUUUUUUACUUACCUGGAGCAUCCUGGCGCCCAUGGUCCUUAUAGCCCUCUGUAUCUCCACUAAAGCAGAGCUGCAUUUAUCCUCCUUGCUGCCCCAAAGCCAGUUUCCUCAAUGCACUUUAUAUAUAUAUAUCCACAAGUUUGGGGUAUGCGGAUGGAUGCAUUAAUCCGAGGUUUCUUGAAAUGCUGCUUGUAGGGUUGCGUGUGUGCGGUGCCUACUUGUUGUCUUGUAUUUCUAAAUGUAGGCUUCUUGUUGGGUUGCUUGUUUCUGGGGAUGCUGCCUGUGGGUAAAGCUGCUUGUAGGGGAAGCUGCUUAUGUGCGGGUUUUGUGUGGGUUGCUUGUUGUUUGUGCUGUAGUAUGUGUGUGAGCAUGUAAAUAGGAGUAGUGUCUGUAGUGGGACUGUGGUGGUAAGGUGAUUAGGGAUAAAGUGAGAAGAUAGGGGCUGUUGUGGGGGAUAGAGGCUCUAGGGUGGUAGUGGCUCUAUUGGGAGGACUAAGGCUUUGAUGGGUGGAUAGUGUCUGUAGUGGGGGCAGAGGGAUGCGGAGGGGGAGUAGUGGCUAUAGUGGGAAAACUGGGAAUGUAGUGUGGAAGAGAUGGGCUGUGUGGCUGCUUAAGCUAUAUUUAAAUAAAGAAAUACAGCCUAGAGUGUAUCCCCCUCCCCUUCCUGAUGCUUACCUUUGGCCAGGGAGGGGAUAAUCUAAUCCCUGGGGGUCCAGUGGGAGAGGUUGCUGUCUGCACCCCAAGACAGCUUCUUCUGGCCAGUGCCGGGGGAUUGCAUCAGAUCAUUACUGCAGUAAUGCAUGAUAACCCUGUGAUACAUCCCCCUUCCCCACUUGCCUGCCACCAUGAGGAUUUUUAUGCAAUGCUGCUUUGAAAUGACCAUAUGUGAGAAUUUAAUUCUGUUUAUUCUUCUUUUAGGGUUAUGUCUCUCUGAACAUCUAUUAAUUCUAACUUCAAGAAUCAUAUUCUACCCAAAAUACUAAAUUCGACUUCUAAC